rnacentral:lncRNA from 1 species
UAAGUAGGAAGAGGCCAUGGGAUGUAGGAGGUACCACAGCAGUGAAGGAAGGAGACGGUGAGACAUUUUCUAUGGACAAGGCUUUGUGAGGAGCUGGCAUGUUGUGAAGGAGAGAGACAUUGUUCAAGACAGGUGAUCACAAGGGAACAGCCAUGGAGGAAAUGGACUUUGAGCGGCGUCGGGAGCUGAGGAGGCAGAAGCGCGAGGAGAUGCGUCUCGAAGCUGAGCGGCUGGCCCGAACUGAGGAUGAUGAGGAGGAAGCGGCUCGAGAGAGGAGGCGCCGAGCCCGACAGGAGCGUAUGAAGAACAGGGAGAACGAGGAGAACAACAACAGUCAGCCUGAGACUACCAUCCUGACCAACAAUCACAGCAUACUGAGGCAACCAGUGGGCAAUCGCAGCCCCAGAGGAACCAUCUCCAAAUCUUGAGCUAGCUUCAUUGUGGGAGUAGUUGAAGGAUUAGCAUGUGCACUUGGG